rnacentral:lncRNA from 12 species
UGCUCAAGAGAGUCAGACCCCUCAUGCCAAGGUGCUAGCCAGGCUUUCCCAAACCUAGGACUCAGGACAGUCCAAGUUAGUCUUGCUGUUGACAUCCCUUUCAGUCAGAGCCCUGAUCUGAAUGAGCAGCUCUCUGGAUUCAGGCUGGACAGACACAGGGACACACAAGGUCAGAGGCUGAUGUCCUGAUUCACUUUGAGAAGCACCCAACUCUGCAAAUAUUCCCAUUGAUGUUCAAGGAUCUCAUUCUGUUUGCGGAGCAGGUGGUUAUGAAACUAUCAUUUGCUUUUCCAUGAAAUAUAACUGUGUUUAAAAAAUUCCAGUAUGUAAUUUUCACAUCACCUUUCAGAGCAGAGCUGUAUUGCAAACAUACCAGCUCCCUUCCUGCUUAUUAAAUCCAACUGUCUUAACCUGCAAAUUUUGUAACUAAUACUUCAAUAUCCCAACCUAGCCAUUUAAAAAUACAAGACGUUACAGAUAAUUAAAGUCUUAAAAUCAA